UGCUGGCAUGUCCAUUUGUGAUGCAAAAGGGU
rnacentral:piRNA from 1 species